rnacentral:rRNA from 1 species
UACGUAGGGGGCGAGCGUUGUCCGGAAUUAUUGGGCGUAAAGAGCUCGUAGGCGGUCUGUCGCGUCGAUCGUGAAAACUUGGGGCUUAACCCUGAGCUUGCGGUCGAUACGGGCAUGACUGGAGUUCGGCAGGGGAGGCUGGAAUUCCUGGUGUAGCGGUGAAAUGCGCAGAUAUCAGGAGGAACACCGGUGGCGAAGGCGGGUCUCUGGGCCGAUACUGACGCUGAGGAGCGAAAGCGUGGGGAUCAAACAGG